GACGUAGGGUGCAAGCGUUGUCCCGGAAUUAUUGGGCGUAAAGCGCACGUAGGCGGUUCGUUAAGUCGGAUGUGAAAGCCCUCGGCUCAACUGAGGAAGUGCACCCGAAACUGGCGAGCUUGAGUACGAAAGAGGAUCGCGGAAUUCCCGGUGUAGAGGUGAAAUUCGUAGAUAUCGGGAAGGAACACCGGUGGCGAAGGCGGCGAUCUGGGUCGAUACUGACGCUGAGGUGCGAAAGCGUGGGAGCAACAGG
rnacentral:rRNA from 1 species